AAGCGACUAAGCGUACACGGUGGAUGCCCUGGCAGUCAGAGGCGAUGAAGGACGUGCUAAUCUGCGAUAAGCGUCGGUAAGGUGAUAUGAACCGUUAUAACCGGCGAUUUCCGAAUGGGGAAACCCAGUGUGUUUCGACACACUAUCAUUAACUGAAUCCAUAGGUUAAUGAGGCGAACCGGGGGAACUGAAACAUCUAAGUACCCCGAGGAAAAGAAAUCAACCGAGAUUCCCCCAGUAGCGGCGAGCGAACGGGGAGCAGCCCAGAGCCUGAAUCAGUGUGUGUGUUAGUGGAAGCGUCUGGAAAGGCGCGCGAUACAGGGUGACAGCCCCGUACACAAAAAUGCACAUGCUGUGAGCUCGAUGAGUAGGGCGGGACACGUGGUAUCCUGUCUGAAUAUGGGGGGACCAUCCUCCAAGGCUAAAUACUCCUGACUGACCGAUAGUGAACCAGUACCGUGAGGGAAAGGCGAAAAGAACCCCGGCGAGGGGAGUGAAAAAGAACCUGAAACCGUGUACGUACAAGCAGUGGGAGCACGCUUAGGCGUGUGACUGCGUACCUUUUGUAUAAUGGGUCAGCGACUUAUAUUCUGUAGCAAGGUUAACCGAAUAGGGGAGCCGAAGGGAAACCGAGUCUUAACUGGGCGUUAAGUUGCAGGGUAUAGACCCGAAACCCGGUGAUCUAGCCAUGGGCAGGUUGAAGGUUGGGUAACACUAACUGGAGGACCGAACCGACUAAUGUUGAAAAAUUAGCGGAUGACUUGUGGCUGGGGGUGAAAGGCCAAUCAAACCGGGAGAUAGCUGGUUCUCCCCGAAAGCUAUUUAGGUAGCGCCUCGUGAAUUCAUCUCCGGGGGUAGAGCACUGUUUCGGCAAGGGGGUCAUCCCGACUUACCAACCCGAUGCAAACUGCGAAUACCGGAGAAUGUUAUCACGGGAGACACACGGCGGGUGCUAACGUCCGUCGUGAAGAGGGAAACAACCCAGACCGCCAGCUAAGGUCCCAAAGUCAUGGUUAAGUGGGAAACGAUGUGGGAAGGCCCAGACAGCCAGGAUGUUGGCUUAGAAGCAGCCAUCAUUUAAAGAAAGCGUAAUAGCUCACUGGUCGAGUCGGCCUGCGCGGAAGAUGUAACGGGGCUAAACCAUGCACCGAAGCUGCGGCAGCGACACUAUGUGUUGUUGGGUAGGGGAGCGUUCUGUAAGCCUGUGAAGGUGUGCUGUGAGGCAUGCUGGAGGUAUCAGAAGUGCGAAUGCUGACAUAAGUAACGAUAAAGCGGGUGAAAAGCCCGCUCGCCGGAAGACCAAGGGUUCCUGUCCAACGUUAAUCGGGGCAGGGUGAGUCGACCCCUAAGGCGAGGCCGAAAGGCGUAGUCGAUGGGAAACAGGUUAAUAUUCCUGUACUUGGUGUUACUGCGAAGGGGGGACGGAGAAGGCUAUGUUGGCCGGGCGACGGUUGUCCCGGUUUAAGCGUGUAGGCUGGUUUUCCAGGCAAAUCCGGAAAAUCAAGGCUGAGGCGUGAUGACGAGGCACUACGGUGCUGAAGCAACAAAUGCCCUGCUUCCAGGAAAAGCCUCUAAGCAUCAGGUAACAUCAAAUCGUACCCCAAACCGACACAGGUGGUCAGGUAGAGAAUACCAAGGCGCUUGAGAGAACUCGGGUGAAGGAACUAGGCAAAAUGGUGCCGUAACUUCGGGAGAAGGCACGCUGAUAUGUAGGUGANNNNNNNNNNNNNNNNNNNNNNNNNNNNNNNNNNNNNNNNNNNNNNNNNNNNNNNNNNNNNNNNNNNNNNNNNNNNNNNNNNNNNNNNNNNNNNNNNNNNNNNNNNNNNNNNNGCGAAGCUCUUGAUCGAAGCCCCGGUAAACGGCGGCCGUAACUAUAACGGUCCUAAGGUAGCGAAAUUCCUUGUCGGGUAAGUUCCGACCUGCACGAAUGGCGUAAUGAUGGCCAGGCUGUCUCCACCCGAGACUCAGUGAAAUUGAACUCGCUGUGAAGAUGCAGUGUACCCGCGGCAAGACGGAAAGACCCCGUGAACCUUUACUAUAGCUUGACACUGAACAUUGAGCCUUGAUGUGUAGGAUAGGUGGGAGGCUUAGAAGUGUGGACGCCAGUCUGCAUGGAGCCGACCUUGAAAUACCACCCUUUAAUGUUUGAUGUUCUAACGUUGACCCGUAAUCCGGGUUGCGGACAGUGUCUGGUGGGUAGUUUGACUGGGGCGGUCUCCUCCUAAAGAGUAACGGAGGAGCACGAAGGUUGGCUAAUCCUGGUCGGACAUCAGGAGGUUAGUGCAAUGGCAUAAGCCAGCUUGACUGCGAGCGUGACGGCGCGAGCAGGUGCGAAAGCAGGUCAUAGUGAUCCGGUGGUUCUGAAUGGAAGGGCCAUCGCUCAACGGAUAAAAGGUACUCCGGGGAUAACAGGCUGAUACCGCCCAAGAGUUCAUAUCGACGGCGGUGUUUGGCACCUCGAUGUCGGCUCAUCACAUCCUGGGGCUGAAGUAGGUCCCAAGGGUAUGGCUGUUCGCCAUUUAAAGUGGUACGCGAGCUGGGUUUAGAACGUCGUGAGACAGUUCGGUCCCUAUCUGCCGUGGGCGCUGGAGAACUGAGGGGGGCUGCUCCUAGUACGAGAGGACCGGAGUGGACGCAUCACUGGUGUUCGGGUUGUCAUGCCAAUGGCACUGCCCGGUAGCUAAAUGCGGAAGAGAUAAGUGCUGAAAGCAUCUAAGCACGAAACUUGCCCCGAGAUGAGUUCUCCCUGACUCCUUGAGAGUCCUGAAGGAACGUUGAAGACGACGACGUUGAUAGGCCGGGUGUGUAAGCGCAGCGAUGCGUUGAGCUAACCGGUACUAAUGAACCGUGAGGCUUAACCUU
rnacentral:rRNA from 1 species